rnacentral:hammerhead_ribozyme from 1 species
AUUCAGCUGACGAGUCCCAAAUAAGACGAAAUGUGCGUCCUGGAU